rnacentral:rRNA from 1 species
UACGUAGGGGGGCGAGCGUUGUCCGGAAUUAUUGGGCGUAAAGAGCGUGUAGGCGGUUCGGUAAGUCUGUCGUGAAAACCUGAGGCUCAACCUCGGGCGUGCGAUGGAUACUGCCGGGCUAGAGGAUGGUAGAGGCGAGUGGAAUUCCCGGUGUAGCGGUGAAAUGCGCAGAUAUCGGGGAGGAACACCGGUGGCGAAGGCGGCCACC